rnacentral:rRNA from 1 species
ACGCGAAGAACCUUACCUGGUCUUGACAUCCACAGAAGUUUCCAGAGAUGGGAAUGUGCCUUCGGGAACUGUGAGACAGGUGCUGCAUGGCUGUCGUCAGCUCGUGUUGUGAAAUGUUGGGUUAAGUCCCGCAACGAGCGCAACCCUUAUCCUUUGUUGCCAGCGGUCCGGCCGGGAACUCAAAGGAGACUGCCAGUGAUAAACUGGAGGAAGGUGGGGAUGACGUCAAGUCAUCAUGGCCCUUACGACCAGGGCUACACACGUGCUACAAUGGCGCAUACAAAGAGAAGCGACCUCGCGAGAGCAAGCGGACCUCAUAAAGUGCGUCGUAGUCCGGAUUGGAGUCUGCAACUCGACUCCAUGAAGUCGGAAUCGCUAGUA